AUCCAGUUGAUAAGUCCCAAAUAAGACGAAACGCAUGUCCUGGAU
rnacentral:hammerhead_ribozyme from 1 species